ACGAGUUGAGUGAGGUUUAGGAAAAUGUUGACUCAGUAGAACGUUCCGAUGGUGAAAGUGACCAGUUCUAAAUUCAUGAGCUGCUGCCGCUACUACAAACAAUUCUUCCAGUGUUUGGAUAAGUAAAGAGCGAAGAUCGCUCCACAACAACGAAAUCAAGCCAUUUCUACAGCCGUUGAUCAAAGUGAAUUACAUGCGACAAUAAUGAGCAGAUAAAAAGAAAUGCGCCCCAUAGUAUGUGGCAAAGCUCUAACUGAUGUCAAAGAAAGUGAUACUACCUGUAUAGUGGAAUUAGGGGGGAAUCGUGCAUCAUGAACCGCUAACGCCUAGAAAAACAAUUGGCCCCGACCUUCACCAUCUGCAACUAACAAGACUACAACAAGCCACUGAGAAAAAACGAUCGGAACUGACGGACAGGAACAAUGCCAGACCACAUGUAUCUUCCUGAGAAUUCAGAUGGAAGAUGUCAAUGAAUCCGCCAUCUAGCCCGCAUUUUGUGCCAUUAGACUGUGACCUGUUUCAGUCCCUAUAGAACUCCCUUAAUGAUGUUUAUUUGGUUUCAAUAGAGGCAUACAAAAAUCA